rnacentral:lncRNA from 1 species
AUGUAUUUUUUAAAUAUUUUAUUUUCUUUCCUUUUAUUUUUCAUCUCUACCAAGUGAUGAAUUUUCUUUCCAUCAUACCAUGCAAAGCCUAAAAGUUGGUUGAUCAACAGAUAGGUUACUCUUUUUUUUUUUUUUUGGGGGGGGGGAAUAGUUUGAGUUCUUUUUGUAUAAUUUUUAAUGUUUGUGGCAAUUUGGGUCCUGUUUGGUAAUGUAAGAUAUUAUUGUUUUACUUGUAAAUUUUUAUGCAAGAUAGAAAAGAUGGAGGAUUUUAUUUCCAAAAAAUGAAACCAUAUAAAGAAACUAGUAAGAUUGAUCAAACAAUUUCACAAAAGAAAAAGAAUC